UACAGAGGGGGCAAGCGUUAUUCGGAAUUAUUGGGCGUAAAGGGCGCGUAGGCGGCCUUUCAAGUGACGGGUGAAAGCCCUCGGCUUAACCGAGGAACUGCCUGUCAGACUGGAAGGCUUGAGACCGGGAGAGGUGAGUGGAAUUCCCGGUGUAGCGGUGAAAUGCGUAGAUAUUGGGAGGAACACCAGUGGCGAAGGCGGCUCACUGGACCGGUACUGACGCUGAGGCGCGAAAGCGUGGGGAGCAAACAGG
rnacentral:rRNA from 1 species